rnacentral:misc_RNA from 1 species
GAUGAAGAACGCAGCGAAAUGCGAUAAGUAAUGUGAAUUGCAGAAUUCAGUGAAUCAUCGAAUCUUUGAACGCACCUUGCGCCCUUUGGCCAUUCCGAAGGGCAUGCCUGUUUGAGUAUCAUGAACACCUCAACUCUUUAUGGUUUUCCAUGAUGAGCUUGGACUCUGGGGGUUUUGCUGGCUCACAGUUGGCUCCUCUAAAAUGAAUCAGCUUACCAGUGUUUGGUGGGUAUCAUGGGUGUGAUAACUAUCUACGCUUGUGGUUUUUCCACCAGGUAACCUUCAGCAGUGGAGGUUCGCUGGAGCUCAUAGAUGUCUCUCCUCAGUGAGGACAGCCCUUUGAAUGUUUGAUCUCAAAUCAGGUAGGACUACCCGCUGAACUUAAGCAUAUCAAUAAGCGGAGGA